rnacentral:misc_RNA from 1 species
AUAAGCCAAAUGGACAUGAUAUGAUAGACUCCAUUGUUCCUCUUUUCUCGCCACAAUCCUCUCAUGUUAGGUCCAGAUUUUACUACCAUUUUCUACCUGUUACAAUAUGUCAUUCACAACUUGACAAUCCAUCACAUCAUUUGUUCUCUCAAGGCAAAUGCACAACCCACAGUGCUUUUCCAUCACCAAAACCUACUUAAUAGAG